GAUGAACGCUGGCGGCGUGCCUAAUACAUGCAAGUCGAGCGAACAGAUGAGGAGCUUGCUCCUCUGACGUUAGCGGCGGACGGGUGAGUAACACGUGGAUAACCUACCUAUAAGACUGGGAUAACUUCGGGAAACCGGAGCUAAUACCGGAUAAUAUAUUGAACCGCAUGGUUCAAUAGUGAAAGACGGUUUUGCUGUCACUUAUAGAUGGAUCCGCGCCGCAUUAGCUAGUUGGUAAGGUAACGGCUUACCAAGGCAACGAUGCGUAGCCGACCUGAGAGGGGGAUCGGCCACACUGGAACUGAGACACGGUCCAGACUCCUACGGGAGGCAGCAGUAGGGAAUCUUACGCAAUGGGCGAAAGCCUGACGGAGCAACGCCGCGUGAGUGAUGAAGGUCUUCGGAUCGUAAAACUCUGUUAUUAGGGAAGAACAAAUGUGUAAGUAACUAUGCACGUCUUGACGGUACCUAAUCAGAAAGCCACGGCUAACUACGUG
rnacentral:rRNA from 1 species